AAAAGUUCCUGCUGGUGUAAUAUAGGAGGAGCAGGCUUGUUUUUAUCAAUGUAGUCCAUGGUAAGGCCUAUGAAUAUCAAUGGAAAAGGAUUUUGCAUUUCAUCAGUAAUAUUUACCUUGCUGCAUGUCUCAUAAGGAGACUCAAGACUUGUGAGGAAAAAAUUAUAUCCAGAACUAAGAGCAUGAGCACCCUGUCGACAACUAAGAAAGUCUCCUACUGCAUAUGUGUACUACCAAAGAUGAUGCUUAACAUAGAGAAGAACAUGCAUCAGUAAGUGUAGAAAAGUCACAACUGAAUGUGUUAAUCUACCUGUGGAAUCAGAAGUAAAUUUUACAGCAUUUUUCUGAAGGUUCCUCUUGAAGAAGUCUUGUACAGGAGACUAAAGCUUCCACAGGAAGGAUCAUGAAUUUGUUACGUGGUAAUGGAAAUUAUUAUACAUGCUGCAUGGUGAUAUAGAUGUGAAAUGGGUAUUGUGUUAUUUUCUGAAGUCUUAGUGUUUUCCUUCUGUUCCAGUUCUUAGUGAUCCAUUUUGCUCAUCUAGUAGAGCAGUACAGCAUUUAUUAUCUACAUACAAAAGAAGAUGUAGAUUUAGAACUUUAUUCUGUCAAGCAAUUACUACUUUUAUGUUAAAUAGAGCUGUGCAGAAAUAAUGAAUGCUUUUAAAGUGUUAUUAUGGAAGCCCAGUUUGAUAAUGGAAAAGCUGAUUCAGGAUAGUUCAGAUUUGGAAGUCAGUUUGGGUAUGUCUUAUGGUAUGCAUGCAACAGGAGCAUCAGAGUUCUUCCUCCUCACACUGUCCAAUUUAUUUUGUAUUUAUUUCAUGAAUGGAGUGACAAGCAAAGUGAGGAUGCCCCUUUUUCCCUUUUCCCAGUUUUAGCGCGAUACUGCAUUUUCUGCACAGUGUUAUCUAGCUUCAUCUCUCCACUUACUGAGAGAAACCAAAGCUUUUGGCUCUGUUCUUGCUGUUUCUUUGUAAAGAUGUAGUGCUUUUGGUGCAGCAUUUCUUCUUUGAACUGGCAUUUCCCUUCUCCUCCAGGGAAAUGCUGUUGGGCUGACCUAUUCAACUGAUGUACCCAAAUGCUGGCUGAGUGCAUCCCAUAUCAAGUGCUUGACAUUAUUUGGUGACUUGCUCAUUCCCUUUGUGCUACUGGGUCUACUGUGGGAUUCUCAUAUGGAUUUAUAAAGCCAUCAAUUUGUUAGGCCGUGCUAUCUCCCUGGUGAAUCUCUUUCCCAGAUAGCAUUGAUUAUCCAACACUUGGUGUUUUGAGGUUUCUCAAAAUAAAGUUAUAUUUCUUGAAACUUUUCUCAAAACAAGCUGGGUGGAGUUUCACUAUUCACAUAUUCACUACAGAAGAAAUUUCUUCCACACUUUUAACCAUGUAUUUUUUCUUUCUUUUUUUUUCUUCUAAUACUAAAGUCCCAAAGGUGAAGCUUGUGUUGGGUAGAAAAGUGACAUCCUGGUCAAAAUUGGGAAGUUUAACUUAAAGCUUUACCCGUGCAUACAUAAUAAGUUAGUCUUUUUUUUUUUUAAUAGCUUGCAAGCUAUGUUUCAGCAUUACAAAAUUGGCAUUUCAGAAUUGCAAAUGAAAGCAGUCCAGUUGAAAUAUCCAUUACAGAAUGUGGCAUAAUGUAUGGCUUCCAAAAUAAAGAAUAUGAUGUGGAAAAUAUCUUUAUAUAUUCAGGCAUCCUGCAUCACCAACAGGCAUCCAAAGUUGGUCCAGGUAAGAAUAGCAAUAAAAAAUUGGUGUUUAUAGGAUCUGUGUAAGCAGAAACAAGGAGUGAUGAGGGUUUGUUCAGGGAUCACUAGAAGUAUCAAGUGAUGUAUCAAGCAUCAAGAAGGUGAUAGGACAGCUAAGAAAACAGCUCAUAAAACCUUUUUUUUUUUUUUUUUUUUUUGUGUGUGUGUGAAAUUUAAGUACUCACUGUUUGUAUCAAGGAAGAAAUAGACUUCUGAGUGAUAAUCUUUGUAAUGCAGUAAAUUUGGAAUUAGACAUAGAGGAGAAAUGAUGUUGUAAAAUACUAGUGGGACAUUAUUCAGGAUGAAAUAUUAAAGUUUACAAAACCAGAGCCAAAACUGAGUUCUUUUAUGCAGAAAGAGAAAAGCUAAGUUUUAUGUUCCUGCAGUUUAGCCCUUAUUGGUAUUUAAUUAUAUGAAACUAUUACAGGAUUUUUUACCAGCUGCAGACUUCAUGUUUAUUUACUGUGAUAGAACUGUGAUAGUGUCUAAGAACCUCCAAGUAUGUAUUAGGAGAUGACAGUAUUGAACAGAAUGAUUGUAAUUUUAAUCAGCUACAAAAUCUUUGAGUGUAAUACACCUUCUCCACAAAUGAUUAAGUGGAGCCAUGGGUAAAUAUAAAUUGUUACCACAUGUAGUUACUACAAUUGACAGUUGCUAUAUACUGGAAAAUAUUCUUACCUAGAGAAAUAAUUUUAGGUUUUUUUAGAAUUCUUUUUACCAUGAAAAAUCUCAUUUUCUUGGUAUUAACAUUAUUGAAUAAUAUGCAUUUUCAUCAGUGAUUAACAAGAGCACUUCAUUUUAUGGUGUGACAAUUGUGCAUGGCCGUUCAGGACGUGGCUUGACUUUCACAUCACUAUCGCCACUGCUGAAAUACAUCACCCACUGACUCACUGUGCUCACAUCCCCUGUUUGGUGUCUAGAAACAUUCAGAAAGCAUCAGCAAAUGUCAGUGGGUGCCAUUUUUUCUACAUGGAGGAAUUUAAUCACGCAUCUUUCCCUUGCAUGCACUUUCAUGUCAGACUGCACCUCUGCUGCCAUCUAUCGCACAGCAACAUCACAUAGUGGAAUAUUUGCCGUGAAGUUCAACUUCUACUGCCUUACCAUCAACAUCCUUCUCUGACAUCAUGAGCCAACAUAAUAAAAUAGCAGGCAUAAGUUUUGCAGUAGCCCUUGUAUAUUGUGAGGAUCAUUAAAUUCCUUUUUCAUUAGAUACGACUUUGCUGUCUUUAACACUAGGAUAAACAUUUUCCAAAAUAGUGCCGCUUUCUUCUUCUAGUUCUUCCUUAAAUUUUUCAUUGUUUCAAAAUUCUUCAGCUAUGUCAGAGGAUACGUUUAUAGGAAGAAUGUAUUGUUCCAGGCAUUUCUGAGACAAAGAAAAUGCUCCUAGCCUUUAGUCUUAAAGGAGUUCUGAUAGCAGAUUCCUAGAUAGAUACAUUGCAGUAUCUAAAGGGCGGGGGCGGGGGUGUUAGAAAGAAGAGGAUAGAUUCUUCAGCAGGGUCUAUGAUGAUAGGACAAGGGGAAAUGGUUUCUAACUAAAAUAGGGGAGAUUUAGAUUGGAUAUAAGAUUUUUUGGGUUUUUUUACAGUAAGGUUGGUGAGGCAGUGCAACAGGUUGCCAAGAGAUAUGGUGAAUGCCCUAUCCCUGGAAACUCUCAAGAUGGGGCUGGAUGGGGCUCUGAGCAACCUGAUCUGGCUGUAGGUGUCUUUGCUUAUUGCAGGACAGUUAGACUAGGUGACUUUUAAAGAUCCCUUCCAACUCAAAUGAUUCUAUGGUUCUAUGAAAACCUUUCCUAUAUCUUUUUUCCCUCAGGGAUAUGAAUGUUGUGUACUUAUAUGUUCUAUGAGUGUUCCCUAACUCCAUUUUUUUUGUAAAGUCUUUUCGUUUUCAUUAGUUUUUAUCUGUAGGUGUAGUAAAAAUAUAUAGUACAAAAGCACAACUGAACAUGCAUAUACGCUGAAAAAAACCCAAAACAUAAACUGUGUUCCCAGCUGAUUAAUAUAGCAGAGUGAAAAGCAUAAAAUGGCACUGAUGCUUAUGAAUGGUGCUGGGAAAAUAAGCUGCAACUGAGCAAUAGCCAUUUCCCGCAAGAUAACAACCUCCUGUUUCCGUGAUGUGAUAAAGUCAGAGUACCUCAUGCUUAUUCUCUGUGUUUUUAUUUUCAUCACAUCAGUACCACCUCGUCUGAAAUUAAUUUAAUCACAGAAGAAAAAAAAAAAAAAGAAGACAAGUAAAUAAAAUGAUUUAAAACUUUUAUAUAAUUAAAGAGAGUGUUAGGAGUUCCAUGGUGAGGUACUUAUCAUAAUAGAUAACCAUCAUUACACCUGCUGUCAUUAUAACAUAUUUUAAGUGUAUAAUCAUAUUUCCUUUAAAAGUCAUGUACUAAUUUUUUUUUUUUUUUUACAAACAUAUAGUUGUCAUCUUUCUUAUAUGUAAGACUGAAUUUAUUUUAGUGAGUUCUUAUGUGAACUCUUGCUGAUCAUGUACGAUCAAUGCAAUUUUGGUUUUAUUUUCUAUGCCAGCAUAUUUUUCUUCCACACUUCAAAGAAAUCAUUCUGUGCCUCUGCAGCAGGAUUGGAGAUGAUGAGCCAGUACAGAUAUGGAAAAAUUGAAUUGAAUUUUCAAAGUAUACCUUGAAGAGAAGCACAAUUAUGUGAAGCAAUGCAUUAUUGCAGUUCUAUGAAUGUUCUCGAUGUUGUGUUGUGUGCUCCUCAGAGAGUUUUGAAACUGAUAAGAUCUAAUGAAGAAAUGAAAUUGAAGAACUGUGGACAGGUGGUAAUCACAGGCAUAGUAUUUUGGAAGGAUUACAGAGGUGACCUGUGACUGGAAAGUUAAAUUAGUAGACUGAAAUCCAGGAUAUAUGUAAGGUCUUCAAGAUAAUUAUUUUAAGGAACAAUAAACAUUUUAAAUAAAAGUAAGUUAUACAUUCUGCUUUCAGAGUGCAGAGUAACUAUAAGGACCUAUUGUAUCUUAGAAGCUGAAACCUAUAGCAUUAUGGAUUAUUUGUUUUCUCUGAGACAGAUUAAUUAACAUAUAAGAAAAGGUUAUCCAUUUGAGAGAUGCUCAUAUAUAAUGUUUUUCUUUCUGUAAUCUAAAUGGAGCUGAUUUGAAAAUGAUUAUCUUCAUAAACAGAAGCUCAGACGUACAGUGAAAGGGCAUUCUUGACAAGCAGCACCAGUGGUGUUGGCAAAAUCGGAAGAAACUGUGUUUGCUAAUGGACUAAUUCUGCAGAGGCAGCAAAGAGCAGAGAGAACUCACUUUUGUGAACUCAACAAAAUAAAGAAAGGCUUGCAUGGUUUAAAUAACGCUGCAGUGGGUUAAUUAAAAAUAGAUAUGCAAUAUCCAGCCAAUUCCUUGUAUCUAAUUCUCCUCCAAGUUCAAACUAAUGUUGAAAUAAUCAUUUUUUGUAUAAACAUGUUGAUUAAAUGCUGGAACCUAAUUUAUAAGAUAAAGGAGUUAGGAAAAGUUAGCAGUUAAUGAUGGCAAACACUUACUUCAGUGAUAAUCUCUGUUAACAGAGAAGAUACUGUGAAUUUUGAAGAAUUUGACAAGCAAAGUGGGGCUUCAGGUGCCUCCAUUUUUGGUAUCUCACUUCAAUCUCAGGUUUGGGAAUUAAAAAGAAAUAGAUGAAGUUUCAGAAAACUGUGGUGAUAUAAUCACAGGAAUACAAAGUCCAAGAAGGAAUUUCCUUUUUUUUUUUUUUUUUUUUUUUUUUUUGUUCGGUGUUAAAAUAUGUGAUAAACUCUAAUUUGUCCUUUAGAAUAUCUAUGCAAUGCUUCUGGAUUCUGAACCUGUGGAUCAAAGACACCCAUUCAGAUCUGUAUGCAGAAAUGACGUGUGUUCAAACCUUUUGAAGGGAAUUGGAUGGAGCAGGCUGCACCAAGCUAUCAUCUCCAUAGGAAAAAAUAUAUCUGAUAUGCCACAAUGAUUGAUAAAAUAUUAUGCUGAGAUGCAUAAGAAUCAAUGUCAUUGAUUCUUAAUGACAGCAAAGAUAUCCAGGAAAAAGAACUAGUAGGACAAAAUAUUAUGACAUGUACAUUAUUUAUACUUGUAUAAAAUACGGUCUUGACAGUAGGAGAACAGCUUAAUAAAGAAACAGCUUUUCUGUAACUUGUAAAGCAGACAGCCUUCUUGCCUAGCAAGAGUAUCUGGUAGCCAGCACCUCUACUACAACUUUCCUGUGUAAUUUUUCUUAGCUUCCAAGAACAAUAACUGUUGUUAUUCUGCAUCUUUUUGCAGGCUGUUACAAAGAGCAGAUAAAAGUAAAAAUAAAAAUGUGGUUUUAAUGUGGCAGACUGAACCUGUCUGAUUUAUGGCAGUUUGGAGUGUUCACUUCAUGUGCAAAAGGUGCAAGCUAAAUAUUAUCUGCCUUUUUGCAGAGCAUUUAAUUCAAUACUGGGAAAGCAGCAGUUGGCAGUCUGAUUCUCCUUACCAUAUGAUGACUAUUUCCCUCAAAUCAAAAUCAAGCUGCCAGUUCUAGAGACUCUUCUCAAAGCAAAUAGCGUCAAUAAAAGAAGUGUGGAGAAGUGAUAUGAAUAGCAGGUGUGCCAGAUCAGCCACAUCAUCAUCUGUGGGUAGGUGCUUUUUGGUUUUUGUCGCACUCUCCUUUGUUUGACCUCUGGUGUCAGAGGACUUGGUUGGCAUCUCUGCCUCUCUAAUCAUCUCUGACAUGUGGCUGGCACUGGCAAAUUUACUCAAAAGGAUGUUCCUGCUGUAUUCUGCAUUGGCCUUCACCUGUUGGAGGCAGAUAAGUGCUGUAUAUUUUGAAUCGGGUAUAAAAAUGUAAUGAAUACUUCGUAUACUGCUUUGCUUUGUAACUCUGGUUCACGAGUUCUGUCUUCUUCAGACCAAUACAAGUACUGCAGUAAGUCAGUAAGUCAGUGCUCUUUCAAAUAGCACUUCUUCCCUUCUCAAGAUAAACAAAACAUGUGAUUAGAUUUGGAAGGCAUCAACAUUUUAGUGUAUCCAGGAGUUUGUUUCUUUUUCUUUUUUUUUUUCUUUUUUUUUUCCCUACAGAAAUAUUCACAUUUGGACUUCAGGGGUGAAAUCCAGGACUCUUUGAAAUCAAUAUAUUUUCACAGAUAUUUUAACAGAGAUGAGAAUUUUCUGCUAAUCUUUCUUCUUUCAGCUACUUCUUCUCAGAAGAGUUACAUACAGACAGAUUUUUUGUACGUACUUUUUUUUUUUUUUUUUUUUGAGUUGGCUACAAGUUAGAAAAUCCCCUACAGCUAAAGUUCAGGCUGAGGAAACAAGUGAUUUUUAUGGAUUAUCUAGUGAGUUUAGUCAAGGAUGCCUGUGCUUGUGUCCUGUGGGAGAAGCUUGUAAUAAGCCUUGAUAAAUCAGUACUCAUAUGCAUGCAUCUUCCCUUUUGCCUGCUAAGACUAAACAGAGCUAUUUCUCAAUUCCCUUUCUGCUAGUGAAUCACAUCAAAGAUUUGAAAGGGUGAUGGGGUUUUCUUAUUCAAAUGAUGUAUUCAUUGACUUUCUUGAUUAGUGUCUUUACAUUUUAUCAAUGAGCACUUCUCUGAAUUUCAAUUACAUGUUUCCAUUGAAGAAACUGUGAGGGGGAAAAAAGUGGUUUCAGUAAUGAUGGUAGUCAGUUGAAAAAGUGCUGUGCAGGUUGACUGUCAAACAUAUUAAUACUUGCUUUAACAAAAUGUUUAAUUUUUAAAAUAUUUUGUUGUUAUGCUUUUAUUUCCAGAAGUGUGAACAUGCACUGGCAGAUCCUUAUUCUUUCUGUGCUCAGUUAUAAAUGUGGUAGGACAUUUAUGUUCAAAAAACUACCUACAGCCUAAUUGCAGAAGAAAGGAACACUGCAGGUCCUGCCUGAGAGGUUGAGCUGAACACAUUUUUUUUCUGGCUUACUGGUCUGGAAGAGAUUCAGAUAAGCUGAAAUCUUUUCAUGGCGCAAACUUUUGAAAGUAUAGAUCUUCCUUUCCAACUAACAUUAUGCAAGGACUGAAUCGUUGGCAUUCUGAGCAUUUGAGUUACUAGUUGCUAGUGCCACCUGCAACUUUGGCCAAAAGAUAAGAAGGUGUUUGCUUGUUUAUAUGAUAUCAGAAAAGGAUUUAAUGGGGAUAAGUUUAAUAUGCAGUAUUACACUUUUCAUUGUUUCUAAUUAAAUCACAAAUACAAUCUGCAUAUUUUGGUGAGAAUACAGUAUUUUCUAACAGAUUUUGGAUAAAAUGACCUAAAACAAUCACAGCAAUAUGAAGGCUAGUGGAGAAGUGGGUGGAGAAUCAACAUAAAAAAAUAAUUGUUUCAGUGACAUUUCUAAUGUCUGAUAUGGCAUUUCAUUUUCUCAUUUAGUGUGUAUAGAUCUUAGGAUUUUUAGUUAAAUGAAUCUAUAGUAGGUUGGCUGUUGAGCAUGGCUUGAUAUCUUUUCUAGAGGACAAAUACAGGGAAAAAAAUACCUGUGAAUGUUAUUCAGAGAUAUUUGAUCACAUUCUUAAGAAGCUGGCUGGAAUCUUAGAAAAACAUGUUUCCUCAAUGAUCUUCAUGAGUUAAGUUGCCCUGCAGAAGAACUUCUGCUAUUUCUGUUGGGGAUUGAGAGUGUCUUUAUUUCCUUGUCAGUUGGGAACUGUUUUACUGUAUAAUUAUAAUCAUAUGUUGGAGCACACAAAUAUAAAGCUUUGAAAUUAUUAUUGUGAGUUUUAGUCUAAGAAAUUUAUGUUCACAAUAAAGAUGACUUUUUUUUAUGUGCAUAAAACAACUUUGGGGCAAUUUUCUCCCUAGGAAUGCUUCAUAGUUUUGUUGCUCAAUAGCCUCCUGGGAUGUAAAAAAAAGGCUAAAAUUAAAUGCUGUUUCCCGUCAGACAGAAAAUGAGCAUUCUGCAUAACUGUUUCCAAGGUGAGUACUCUCUUCAUGGGGUAGGCAUCUGUGUUUCUGUGUCUUUUCUGGUGUAGUAUUAACAGCUCUAGAGGGUGAGACACACUAGCAAAGAUUAAAAACAAACAAACAACAACAAAAAAAACUUGCAGACAUUUAUUCAUUUCUUAGCUAGCAUGUCCACUGAGGUUUGGGAAGCCUGUAGGAAUCUCCAUGGAAGUCAACCAGCCUACCUUCAGGCUAUGAAUUUUGGUUGGUGAUGCUUACUCUUUGCAGUUUUAGUUUUCAUAGAAUCACCAAGGUUGGAAAAGAUCCCACAGGAUCACCCAGUCCAACCAUCCACCCAUCACCAAUAGUCCUCAUUAAACCAUGCCCCUCAACACAAUGAUCAAACAUUCCUUGAAAACCUCCACGGUUGGUGACUCCACCACCUCCCUAAGCAGUUUUUGAUGCUUCUUUUUAAUUCCUAUUUAUAAAAUAGAGGAAAACAACACUUCUGUUUUAGGACUGUUGUGAAAAUAAAUACAUUAAAGCUUGUAUAUUCAUAUACUAAUGUAGUUAUGCAUAUCUAAAUAAAGUAGGAAUGAGUCACCAACUUUGAAUUCUGUAUGACUGUUAUUUAGCCUUAUACAUUCAAGCUAACCAGUGAGAAGAAAGUCCAGACUGCUAAUUUGCCAUGAGGGAAUAGCAUAUCUCUGAAUCAAACAGAUUCUUUAGCUGGUGUAGGUACAGAUUUGGGGCUAGGAACAUUAAUAGCAAUUCAGUAAGGCACAUGGCAAUUGUAAUUAUUUUAUGCUAUAAAAAGAUACAAGUGACCCUGAAAAUCCUAUUAUGAACCACAAAAUUAAUGGCAAGGCUAAAAUAUUAUAGUUUUAUGUGAACCAUUUCAGUUAACUUCAGAUUUUAUAUAUAUAUAUAUAUUUAAGUCCAUGAUCAUCUUCAGAAUGUAGAAUGAAUUUUAUAUUUUUCCCUCAGUUUGAGGGAUUGUUUCCUGAAGUUUAGAUUAUUAUGAGCCAUGUUAUCAAUAAAAUCUCCCUUCCCUCCAUACACAGCUAAUUCUACUUCAGUAGAUCAGUCUGUAUGAAUGAGGCAACAGACUGUAUCAUUUUUGUUGUUUAGAUACUGAGAGGCAAAUAUACUUCAUCUCUAGAAUUGGAUCUCUCUUUCUUUCAUUAAUAGUAUUGUAACUAUAAAAUAGAUUUCAUGGGACAACUGGAGUUUGAAAGUAUAGAAAAAAGUAGAGUGGAAUAAGGAAAAGAAUUAAUUAAUAUGUGGUCGUAUUACUUAUUUCACUUAUUUAUUGCUACAGUAAUAAGGCAUUAGCACUUUUAAUAGAGUAGAUCGUUAUUUACCUUUCAUAAUUUUUGAGUUUGUGUAUGUGUGCAGGAGUUUGUCAGAGUGCUACACAGAGCUUAACUUUUAUAUUUGCAUUUCUUAACAGUGUCAGUUUAUGUUCUGCCACCAGGGAUUGCCUCAUCCCAUGUAAUCCAGAAUGUCUAUAGAUUGAUCUCUGUGCCUGAGGAACAUGAAGAAAUUCCCCCAUACUCUGUAAUUUCUUGAACAUUGAAUGCAUUGGGAUCGGACCACACAUAGUGAUUUUUAUCUUUGAAGUAUUUCUUUUUUUUUGUUUUAUUUUUUAAUUUUUUUUUGCAUUGAAAGACUCCAACCAUCUCUACUAUUGUGUAUAAUAUGAAAGUAAUUAAAAUUCUAUUUUAUCACUUAAUCACCAAAAUGGUUAACUUACAUUAUUGCUGUCUCCCAGUCUAUGCCAUUGUUCUUUUCCAGGAGAAGAAAAUUCUACAAAGCAGCAGAAAGGAAGUGCAAUUCAUUAUGCACGGAGCUUUUUUUAUCUUAAUCAGUUCUGGUAAUUUACGUAAGAGGUUUUGUCAUUAACUGCGUUUUCUUUGAAGAAAUCCCUCCCAUAGCCUAAUCUAGUUUGCCACUUAUUUAAAUGCCUGUGAUGGUAAAACAGAACUACUUUCUUCAGAGUGUUUGAAAAUUAUUAGAAACUCUAGUCUGAAUGUGUGUAUAUAUAUACUUUCGUCAGACAAAAUAUUAUUGUAAGUGAAUGCUAUGUUGUCAUCUUCUAAUUAGACUGGUCUAUUAGUCAAAUUUAAGUUUCAAGUGGACUGGAGGAUGGAGAAGUGUAUGUAAUGGGAGGCACAUAAUAACCUUGUUAACCACUAAAAUGUCUUUCAGGUUUGAACACUGCAAGGAGACUGACUACAUGCAUGAGAGCUGCUCUGAUAGUAAUGCCUCCUAUUUUAUUAUGUUAGCUCAUAAUAUCAGAAGUGGUUGGUGGUAUGGCAGUAGAAGUUGAACCUUCCUACCAAUAUUUUGUUAGAUUCUGUUGCAAUGUGACAGAUGACAGCAGAGGGAGAGUGAGACAAAUUGGCUUUUGACAUGGAAGUGUGUAUGAAGCAAAAAUAUGUCAUUGAAUUCCUCCAUAGGGAGAAAAUGUCACCCAGUGAUGUUCACUGAAGUUUGCUGAAUGUUUAUGGAGGCCAUUGAAUGUCAGCACACCAAGGUAGUGGGUGGUGCGUUUGAAUAGUGGUGACAGUGGAUCAGCUCCACUGGUGCAGAUUAUUAUGAGCGCAGCAUGCAUGCUCUUGUUCAUCAUUAUUGAAAAUGUAAAGCUAAUGGUAGCGAUUAUGUUGAAAAAUAGUGUUUUGUAGCUGAGAAUUUGCUCUAUCAAAUACUGUUAUCUUUGUUGUAAUUUCCAUGGAAAGAAAUGUAAAUCUGAGAAGAGAGAAGAAAAUCAGCAGGGAAUGUCAAUGUAACCGAAAUCCAGGAGCAUAUCCAGCUGAAGGGAGUUCACAGAUUAAGAUCAAAGAAGAACUGAGUGUUAGAAUAAAAGAUUUCAUUUGAGACUUUUCAAGUAUAAUUUGGAGCAGACCAUCUUGAAUGUCAUCACACAGCACAUACAGGACAACCAAGCUAUCAAAUGAAGCCAGCAUGGGUUUGUGAAAAGCAGAUCCUACCUGACUAUCCUGGCCACCUAUGAUCAGAUAACUUGAUCAGUAGAUGAGAGAAAGGCUAGGGUUAUUGUAUACCUUGAUCUUGGUGAGUGUUUGAUGCUGUUUCUGACAGUAUUUUCCUGGAGGAUCUGCCUGUUUUUGGCUUGCGCAGGUGUAUAUUUUUCUGGGUGUUGAACUGCCUGGAUGGCCAGGCUCAGAGAGUCAUAGUGAAUGAAGUUCAGUCCAAUUGGCAAUGAGUCACCAGCAACUUUUCCCAGGGCAUGGUACUGGGAACAGCUUUAUUUAACAUUUUCAUUAAUGAUUUGGAUGGGGGGUGCAGUGGAAUUGCCAAGUUAUGGCCUGAACCAAUGGUUGAGCACCAGGUGAGAAAGGCAAGACUAACCCAGGGAGCUCAUGUGCAAGCAAUGCACAUGAGUGACUAGAAGGAAAUCAGUCUGGAUCCACCGCUCCUUACUCUCAUUUAAGGGCUAGCAGCUGAGGGAGCACCGUUUCUCUGGAUAGAGGUUGCACUCCUCUUGAGCUGUCGCUGAUUGUUGGAAGGCGUGAGCCAAUUUUCCUUCUUUGCUACCUGCUAUUGUUCUGUAGUGCCUGUAUCCCAUUCAAGCACACUGUUAUUGCCUUCUUUCCCCAUACAGGGGAAUUUAAUGAACCCUCAGAAGGUUCCCUGACAAUACCAAAUUAGGUGGAACCUGCAUGAGAGUUGGCAGGCUAUGCAGAGACAUCUGAAUUAGUAGAUUCAGUGGGCCAAUGAAUUCAAUCAUAUGGUAUUUAAGGAAGGUGAGUUGCUCAGUCCUGCACUUCAGUCAGAAAAACCCUGUGCAGUGAUAUAGGCUGAGGAAAGAGGACUUGGGGAUGCUAGUCAAUAGCUGAACACAAGCCAGCAGCGAGCCCAGGUGGCCAAAGUGACUGAUGAUAUCCUGGCCUACAUUAGAAAUACUGUGGACAGCAGGAUGAGGGAAAUGGUAAUCCCAUUGUACAGCGCUGGUGAGACUACACUUUGAAUACAUUGUUCAGUUUUGGGCCCCUUACUUCAAGAAAGCUGUUGAGUUGUUCAAACAUAUACAGAUAAGUGAAAUGAAGCUGGUAAAGGGAUUAUAAAACAAGAAUCAUGAGGAGCAGCUGAGGGAACUGGGGUUGUUUAGUCUGGGGAAAAUAAAGCUGAGAGUGGAUCUCAUCUCUCUCUACAACUUCCAGAAAGGAGGUGAUGGGUGACAGGAUGUGAAAUAACAAACUUUUAGAAUUUCUUCCCAGAGAGAGUGUUCAAGAACUGGAACAGACUGCCCUGGGAAGUGGUGAAGUCCUCAUCCCUGGAGAUAUUUAAGAGAUGUGUGGAUAUGGUAAUAAAGAACAUGGUUAGAUGAUGGUUAGAUGACUUUGUCGGGUCAGGUUGAUGGAUAUACUUGAUGAUCUUUAAGGUCUUUUCCGACCUAGAUGAUUCUGUCAUACGUGUAUGGGUUCUCAGUACCCUGCAAUUAAUAUAUAUCUUUAGGAGUUGUUUCACCUAGAAUCUUUCUUUCAUCCUCAUCACUGAUUUAAAAAUACAGUGCAAAAAAUAUUUCUCCUUCCUGCUUUUGUCUCUCUCUUAUAUGUAUGUAUUUAUACGCUUGUUGUUGUUUCCUGGUUUUGCUCUGUUGGAGAAUAAGUAAAGUUUAGGGAAUGGAUCUGAUCCAAUGGUUUAAACUUUGCUCCAGUAAAGUCUUUAUUACAUGGUCUAAUUCUAAUUUUUUUUUCCCUUUGCUUUUUACUCUUAGGCACACAUUUGAAUUCUGAACUGGUCUAGGAUCUAGACUUCUUUCUUAACAGCGCAGGUUCAUGUUGAAUUAGAGAUCUCAUAUAUAUCUUAGGUUUUUUUACCUGACAGUUUCAAGUUUUAAGGAUUUUUCUUGCUAUAGAAGGCCCUGGUCAUGAGGCAGUUAUGCUUUUAAAAAGCUGACAUGUACAAGAUCAGACAUAGGACUUCACUGGCCAAAGAAAGCACAUAUUAUCCUAUAAUAAGUUGACUCUAAAUGUUCCACUUUUCCUCCUGAGAUUCUAUUGCCCAGACUCCCUUAUUUCCCCUUUAUCUUCUAAUCUGCUUCAUUGAGUUACACAUCUGUGUAUGUUUACUCCUGUGCAUGUAGUGGUGCAAACCAAUCAAGUGACCACUGAGACAGUAAUACUGCCUCUCAGGUGGUACAUAUAAGUCCACAGAUGUUCUGGGGUACUAACUGCUUCUUCAUAAUUCCACGCAGAAGAAUGGCUUUACAAAAGAGCACAAACAGGUUGAAUUAAUAUUGCCUACUGCUGAUCUGAGUGCCUUCAGUACCCCUUCUCCCAGUAUGAGAUUUAAGUUCCGUCAUUGGAACGGCACUCAUUCAAAAAUUAGACCAUAUAUAGCACAAUGAAACAUUCCUACAACUUGGAACCUUUUCUGAAGCAAAAAUUAUACAAGUAAACUAAAGGCUCAAGGCAAAAAUUAUGACUGAAUGUGAUCUUUUGAGUAAAUAAUGGAUUCUGGUAAUGCAUUAGUUUUCAUUCAGAAAAGCUGCUAAUAUAAUCCUAGUUCCCCAAACAGCAGGCUAAUUGUUGUUCAGUGUUCUUUCUGAUUCCACUUAAAAAUUUCACGGUGGACCUAAUAACAGUAAAAGUUAAGGGGUUUAAUAGGUUGGGUGGUUUUUUUUGUUUGGUUGGUUGGUUGUUUUUUUUUUAAAAGGAAAUCGUCCUUUUGAAAUUAUCUGGAACUAGACUUGAACAAACACUUAAAAUUUUAACAAAGUUAUUCCUUCCAUCUUCCCAUUUUCCUUCUAUUAUGGAAACAUUUUUUUUUAAUGGAAAAAAUUGUGUGUCUCUGUGCAAUUUGGACUACAACAAUGCUGUUCUUAUUGAUGUGCUUUGAGCUCAAUUCACAAUCAAGUGGUGAGAGGGACAGUCUCAAUUGCCACUGAUUUAUAUGUAAAUUGUGAUAAACCAGUACUUUCAAAUAUAAGGCACAAAGGUUCCAUUUUAUAUCUCUCUUUCUCUCUCUCUCUCUUUUUUUUUUUUAGGUAAGAUUCCAGGAGUAAUUUAAAUGUAGUGAACUUAGUAAAUUCUAAAAUGAUCUCCACAUGAUGAAAUAAUUACUGAUUUUAUGCAAAGAGUAAAAAUGAUACUUAAGAAUACUUAUUAUUUUAAGAGUAUACUGCUGUCUUCAGGACAAAAAGUAAUUGUUUUCAUCAUUGCCUCUGUGGAUUAUAUUGUCCUUAUAAGCAGGUAUUAAAUCAUGCAAAGAGGGGAAGGCUUUUGUUCCUUCGAGAAAACAGAAAACUCUUCAAUAAAUAGCAAAGUGAUUCCUCAGCUGAAUUCAAAAUAUUGAGCUUAUGUAAAAAAAAAUUAUCACAUGAAAAAAAAUCUUUAAUGCUGCAUAAAAGAUUUUGUUCCAUUCUGCAUUGUACUGAAUCAUCAAUAGAGAAAUGGUUCCUUUGUUUUCAGUAGAUGGGGAAUGUUGUGGAUAACUUAUGUGAAAAAUGUAAUACUCCUAUGUCAGUACAACAAAAGAAAAGAAAGGAGUAAAUGUUAUGAGGACUGCUUCAGAAGGGAAUUCUGCUCCAAAGAGGUGAUCUAGAAAGAAAGGAAACAAACUCCUUAGUAGUCAGUCCGUUUAGACAGUGAUGCUCAUUUGUGUGAAGCUUUUUUGUUAUCAUCACAUAUUUCAUACUCAUAUAUUAGGUAAGUCUCUCUGGGAAUUCAAUGUACACAGAACAAAAGAGGAUAUACUUGAUUCAAAGAUAGCUGAAUUUCUCAGGAAGUUCUAAACCUCAGUGGGAUGGCUGCUUGGGAAGUCCUUUUACUGCAGUGCCUUGUGGCCACCAAACCAAGCAGUGAUUGAGCAGCCUUGAAUCCUUGUAAUUAGAAGAAGGAAGCUUAGUGAGAACCAGCUUAGAUGACUUUGUUCAUUUUCCUUAGCUUGUAUAGAACUGCAAGUGUUAAUAUAAUCUAAUAAUAAGAUUGUUUUGGAAAAAAAAAAUCUUGGUUUUAUAUUAAACCACUAAACAAAGGAGUGAAAGAAAAAAUAUAUUGCAAUGUUAUGAACAUCAAAUACUAUCUGAACAAGGAAAUAUUAACAGUUUAUGUGAUAAACUUUAGACAAUACUCUUGCAUCAAUAGCAUCACUGAACUGCUUGUGGGUGGCUGGGGAUAGUUUUUCCAAUAUCCAAUACUAAAAAACCCAUUAUAUUAAAAAAAAAAAAAAAAAAAAGUGAAAAGUGAAUAAGAGCAUAUUGGGUCAUUGGCUUAUUAAUUUUACAACUAGAUGAAACAGUAGAUUUGUUUUACUUUACACAAGCUGUGUUUUUUUUCCUUCCAUGAGCUGAGUGAAUGAGUUUGAUUGGUUCUGUAAGGCUCCGGUUUGAAUUUGGGGGGAUUUUAUGCUUUUCUAAUCUUUAAAUGUAGAGUACUAUAGAAUAUGAUUACCUACCAAUUUCUUAACCAAUAUGUAUUUACUGCUGUCUCUGAGUUUAUAUUAUACUACAAUUUUGGAAGUCUUUUUAUACAUGAUUGUAACUGUUCAUGUCAGAUCUGUCUACAUUCGUAUAUUCAGUGCAUGUACUUGAAGAAUAGCUUAUAGAAAGUAAUUGCAGCCAGUGUUUAUAGGACAUCACAGUUGUGUGAACAGUGCUUAAAAACCUGAAAAAAAUCAGAAAAAAAGAUAGUAUAGAUUAAAAUAUUUUUAGAUUUCAUUUCAAAUAGGAUUAAACAAAAAUUUCAAGUAUUAUCUUUACAACUGUGAAGUUCACCCUAUUCUCAGUGAUGGCAUACUAAAUUUGUCAUGUAACUGUGCCUUAGCUAGCCUGUAGGAUUUAUUUUAGUUAUACAGACUGUCUUGGAAAUACGCAUAGAGGAUGAAGCAGUGACCUAUGGAUUUUAGAAUACUCAGAAAAAUUUUGCAUACUAAUCUUAUUUUUUUUAUAACAAUCUGAAUCUAAUUUACUUGCUGCAAGUGGGGAUGAGUCACAUUAAUUUGUCUUUUUUAACUAGAAAUACCCUACAGCUUGAUCAACACCACUAUCCCGAUUUAUACCAUCAACAUCAUGGAUUGGGUCAGUAUAAGGAAAGGAAAAAAUGAAAGAAAUCAGAAGCAAUUUUAAAACAUCAGAAGAGAAAAAAAAAGUCUUUGAAUAGAUCUGUAAAGACAGCUCAUUAUGUUUAUGAAAAAUCCACAGUUGAUAGUGAUGUACUGAUGAAUAUGACUAUAUAUAUGAAUAUCCACCUCAUCCCUCCUCUUCUGAGUUGUCAUCAAGAAAUAAGAUAUUCUCUCUUACUCUUCUGCCAAAAAACAUCUGGAAUCCUUAGGAAAACAUUGAGGUAUUGAAUCAAAAAGACUCUAUCAGCAUAUUUACUUUAAGCACUCAAAGUCAGUCAUUGACUCAGUUGUAGACUUAAGAUUAUGCAGUUGCUUCAUGUUUUACUAAAAGGUUUAAACAUUAUACUGAAACAGAGGUAAUUACACUGCUUAUAUGCAGUUCUAAUCUACCUUGAGUGUGGGAAAAAAAAUUACUUGUGCAUUUAAAAAUAGUAUUAUAAGAAUUAUUUGUAGGAUUUUUAUGCCUAGGUGCUAGGUGCUCCUAGUGCAGAUUUCACAACUUUUUGGAAACUGUAAGAUUACUAUUUCUUUCUGAGUUGUUUGUCACUCUUAAUAACUACGAGGUAAACAGAAGAAAACACUUCUAUGAAAGCUGCUCUAAUAACUGCUGUAAUGACUACUAACAGAAAUGGCUUCAUUAUUCAUGAGUUGUGCACAGAAUUAGUUUGAGACAUUGAAUGGAUGUGAGGAUCUAUUCAUUUUCUGUUACAAACUCCAUUCUCAGCUACCUGAAAAAAUUAAGGUCAAGAAAAUGGUUCAUCAUGUUUACUCAUUCAAGACAUCACCAAAAUCCAGUUGAUACUAGAACUGGGGACAAACUUACUUUACUAAUUUGUCUUUGUGGGUAAUAUGCAACCAAUCCUUUCCAUAUAAACUACUCCAGAGCCACUAUUAGUAUUUUUACUAGUGUACGGAUAGGAGGAGGUUAGAGAAGCAUAUAUCAUAUGUCUAGGUUAUAUAUAAAGGGACUGGAUAUUGAUUACCUCCAUAUUUUACCUGCUGAUAUAGUCAUCUUUGUGUAAUUUUUGAUAAUUUUACAAGGACACCUUAUUGUUUGUGAGAAGCAAGUUGGAGAGCCUUUCUGUAGUGAUCUGCAUCAGCAUUUAGAAUGCCAUAAUGAGGUUAUAUGUUACACUAUGCUUAUGUGCUUUGCUAUUAAUUUGAAAUAUUCUCCCUGAACAUGAAAUUAAUAGAAGUAAGGAAAAACUAUUGGACCACAAUCUGGAUUAAGCACUUCUUUGUAUCAUAGAACUUCAGAUGCAUGAUUAUUAUGCCAGUAAUCAGAGUAGCAUUGAAUUUAAAAUUGCUGCUUUGUUGCUCUGCAUAUUUUGAUCCAGUAAUUAGGACUGAGAACUGUUACUUCGUUUUACUUUCAGCAUUAGUAACAUUACAGGAUUUCAGAGUAUGCAAAAGAGAAAGGGCAUGAAAAUCAAAGCAAAACUUUCAUUAGAUGAUGAUGCAGUUUUGGAAAUUUAAGGAACUUCAAUUAAGUUUCACACCUUACAGUAUAAUGUAUACCCUAAAUUCUGUAAAACUUAAGCUUAGGUGAAUUAUUUGGAUUUUUGCUGUGACCUUCACUUAAAUGGCUAGUAUUUCUUUCUCUAUCUUUCAGUGCAAUAAUUUUAGACCAUACAAGUGCCAGGUUAACUUUUUUUUACAGGGUAGUAGCUGUGUCUGCAUCAGCAAGUCAUACAUGGAAGAAAUAGAUCAGGAGAUCAAAAUAGCUGGUGGUUGAGACUACUGCCACUAUUAUGUGUACUGCUCUGGGGGCUUAUUUUGAAUUGAUUUAGUCUAGUUUCCUGAUUCAGAUGUCCUCGUCACAUGUGCAGCUCAAAGUCCUUUGAAGAACUAACCUUUUGUUUGGACCCUUAUGAACCCACUACUUGCUAGAUUGCAUUUGAUGUGUGCCUGAUAUAGAGUUUAGUUUCCUCCAAAGAAAAUCUAGCUAGCAUCAGCCUCUCCUCAUUGGGCAAGUGCCCAACUCCCCACCAUAAUGAAUGCCCAUUCCUUAUCAGUGCUGUAUCUUUAUCUCUAUUUUGACAGCAGUUUUCUGACUUUGAGUUCUAUCAUAAUCUUAACAAGCUUCCCAUUAAUUUCUGAAUAGAACAGCAUAUGAAGAUACAGUACUGGAAGUCUGGUGAAAGGAUUAUGGUGUUAGGAAUUAACAGGAAGAAUGAAAACUACUGCACCCACCCAAUACAGAAAAGUACAUACUUCAUUAUCUUAGUAGCUACAUUAUCUGCAAUAUCAAACAUCUUGUUUCGUGUCAAAGGUCAUACCUUGGUGAUGUCUUAUUAGUACAGCCGUCUUUAGCUGGUGUGAGAUAUGUGUUUAUUCACAGUUUGAACAUCACCCCUUCAUUCUCUCCUAUCAUUAGUAACUUAGAGUUUUCAUGUACCCGAUCAACUCUUGACACAAGAUAGGUCUCUAGAAGGAAGAGUGAGUUUUGAACUUUCUGUAAUUAAAUGUACAUUUUUUUAACAUCAGUAAUUGGAAAUCACAAUAGAUUCCAAUCCCCAUGCUAAUAAUUCAUUAUAAAUCUGACAUAUAUGGCGAACAUUUAUAUACCAUAAUUUUAGAGGUAUCUCAACUAGAAAGUUCCUAGCAAUAAUAAAAUAGUAAUAAAAAGACAAAGGCAGACGCAAAAUAGCAUUUUAAAGGUAACAUAGUUGAAUCUGUUAUUGUCCAAAAUUAUUUUCUGCAUUAAACACUAGAUACUAUGAGAAGAACUUAAAGUAAAAGGUACGUACUGUAAUUCUUCUCAUAUUAUGGAUUAGACUGAAAAAAUACACAUAGGUAGUAAGGAAGUUGUGUUCUCCCAUAGCACUGUGAUUAAUGUGUACUUAAAUUUCUUCAAAAGAAUCUCAUAAUAUGUCCAUGAGAUGUUCGUGAUUUUAUUACAUCAAAAUUUAAAAGCAAAUUUCAGGCUUACAAGCUCUGGCUUUUUUGCUGUGAUUGGCUUCUGACAUGAGCACAGGUAGUCCCUGUCUUGUAGUCUUGCAUUCUCGAUUUACAUAGUGGACUUUAAAUUGUUUUACUUCAGGGGAUGUUAUAAUCUCCUUUGAUGUCCAUAAAGUCAGUAGACCUAAUCUGCUUGAAAGAUACUGAAUUUCUUAGAAGCUCAUAUCCGCCUACUAUUUUACAUAGGGAUUAUCAUUACUAGGCUCAUAAAAUGUGUUUUUAACAAUAACAAAAUUUGAUAAGCAGCUUGGCUUCAUAAUGAGAAUUUAGCAAGACAGAAAUGCUACUCAGCAGCAAUAGUUUUUCCCUUGCAGAAACUAUGUCAUGUGAAAAGAAAAGGAAGGAGGAUCUGAUUUCUAGACAGUUCGUAACUGAUUGUGUCAAAAUCUACAUAAACGCAGGACACACAGUUCUCAUGGUAUGUAUAAGAGUUGUUUAAGGAGUUAAUUAUGGAUAGGAAUGAAUUAUCUGUGCAUAUGCUGCUGGUAACAAAUAAUCAACUUUAAAUUCUCAUUUUUAGACCUAAUGGUUGAUAUUCAAUUACUAAUGGUUAUCCAUCUAAAAAGCUAUCUUACAAUACUCAGCUUGAAUUAAAUAUCACUACAUUAAAUUGAAUUAUGAGAAAGAGUAGCUCAUCUAUAUAUGUAGAACAUCUUGAAAUUGAAAUUUGUUAUUCAAAUCGUGAUUCUGUAAUAUGGAAGUGCACAUUUUUAAUAUGAAUAUAGAGAAUUCAGUGCUUGCCUAUUUGAGUUGCAUGUAUGAGCUCAUUAAAAAAGGUAUGCUAAAAAUGAGUAUCUAUAAUAUAUAAUCUAGAAGAUACAAAACCAAAUACAUAGUUACUGAUACCAGUCUGUGUUAAUGUCUGUGGGUUGCUUCAAAAGUACUGCCUUCUAUUUAUUUCCAUGGCAAUUAAAACAGAUACGGAGGACACAAUAACACUGUUUGAUAGAGCAAAUUCUCAGCUACAAAGCACUAUUUUUCCUCAUAUAGUCACCACCAUUAACUCCAUGUGUUGCCAGUGAUGAACAAGUUCCUGCAUGCCAUGCUCGUAAAAUUCUGCAUGGCCAUCAGGGGUGUGGCUUGUCUUUCAUGUUGCUAUCAUCACACUGCUGAAACACACAACCCAUGGCCUCUCUGUGCUCACAACCACUGUUUGGUCCACAUAAAUGUUCACUGAGCAUUGAUGAAAGUCAGCAGGUGUCAUUUUUUAUGCUUAGAGGAAUUCAGUUAUAUGCCUGUGCUCAAUAAUUCACUUCCACAUCAGACACUGUUUUGACAGACUGCCCCUCUGCUGCCAUCUGUUGCAUGGCAACAAAAUGUAAUGGAAUAUUGGUAGGAAGUUUCAGCCUCUACUGACAUACCACUAGCAUCUGCCUCUGAUGUUGUGGGCCAACAUAACAAAAUUGGAGGCAUCAUUUUCAGAGCAGCCCUUGUAGACAGCACCAUAAAUGCCAGUAGAUGAAACCGUAAACAGGGUGUACAGCUUUAAGUUUUCUUUUUUGAAUUAUUCUUUACCAUUUUACAUCACUUUUAAAGACUGCAUUUUGAAAAAUGGUCAGCAUCUCUAAUUCUGUAUGCAUAAGCAGUUGGGCAUGCUAGGGGAAAAACCUAUUUCUAGGAUUUAUGUGUGUAUACUAUCUGAGUGUGCUUAGCAUGACCGACAGUUAUCACGUACCAGAAUGACAGUGUAUUUUGCAUUCUUAUAGGAGAUUUGUGCAAGUAGGUGGAGACAAUGGGAGGUCUAUAUGAAGUUCUAACUGGCUUAAGUUGGUGAUGUUGAAUGUGACUGUUAACGCUAUAUAUUUCUGAAAGUUUUAGAGUCUUUAUUUGUAAUGACAUAUUAAGGAUUCAUUUACUGUUUUCCAACUUACAGAUUUAUUCUGAAGACAUUUUUUAAAGGGCACUCAAUCUUAACUUUCAUUGCGUGGAAACAGAUUUAUGCCCCAUGAAACACAUGGCUACUUAAUUUUGGCUUCUACAUUCUUGUUUAUUUGUAUAUCUUUCUGAAUAUAUUCCUCUUUGUUAUUAGCUUACUCCUGCCUCUUUGCAGACAUGCGUAAUCAGCCACAAGUUUCAAAGGUUGCAGUUGGUAGGAAGGGCAUGGGGAUAACAGCCUGAAGCAAGAAUAGACGAGAAAGUGUGGAUAAAAUCAACUCUGUGUUCUGAUAAGAGAGAAAUAACCUACCAUUUGUACUAUUUACUUGGAGGAAUUUAGAAACUAGCAGGGAGGAAGAUUAGACAGCUUAGGAAGAAUUAGAACCUUGAAAAAAGAUGUAAGAGGAUGGAUGAUAUACCUCAGGAAGAAUAUGUCUUAGCAUAUAGUCUAGGGAGACAAACUUACAUGGCACUUCAUAUAGAUAUGACUGCUGCAAGCUCAGCUUCAAUACUGUAUUAAAUUGAAUAUGUUGCAUCCCAGCUGGAACUAGCUAUGAUAUGUCCUAAGGCACCAUUUUUAUCAGCAGCCUUUUUGGGUUAGCAAACAACAAAUGAACAGUUUCUGUGCUUUGAGCCAGUAAUAAUGAGAACUUGAUAAAUUCAAAUUCUUAAACUGUGAUCAUUAAACUAUUUUGUUAAAAUUUGUUUUUGUUGAUCUCACUGAUGGAGACACCUCUUUGCCUAGUCCCAUCAUGUUGAUUUGAGAAAGACCAUGGAUUCUGACAAGACUUAAGGAUACAGAGAAACAGAAAUUUUAGACAAGCAUAGUGUUUCAUUGUUUAUUAACCAAGUAGUUUUGUUUCUGUGGGAUCAUUUCAUCUAGAAUCACUCUGAUAAAGACACAAAACUACUGUGUUGGUUGUCCUUAACAGAAUGUAAAAAUUUUUGAGUGCUCAUUUCAGACUGACAGACUGGCAGUAAAGUUGCCAACUAAUAUAUCUGGCUGAUCUUUUGUAUGAAAUGCAACAAGUAGCUUGAAGUCCUCCUCCUUUGGGGCCAGCAAAUUGAGAAUGCCAAUAUUCUGUAUCACUUGAGGGUGUUUUGAGGUCAGUUAGUGUUUUUGAUCUAGCAGUUACAAUAAAAAAUCUAGAUACAAAAAAGCCUACUUACAGUAAAUCUGUUGUUGUGGUUAUACUUUUCAGUUAUUUUAGUCCAAGAAUCUGGAGAAUUUCCUUGUAUUUGGAAACAGCGUGAUGCUGUUUGACAGCAGUCCACAUGCCAUGUCUUACUUCUAAUGGCAAGAGCUUGGCUGUCCAUUGAUGUGAAAGGGCUUUUUGGUAAAAUGUGAGUUUUGCUUUUUCCACUGAAAUGGUUGAAAAGUGAUUUGAGUAUAAAAUGGACACAGUGACAAUAGGAAAACCUGAGAGAGAGAAAGAAUGGAUUUCUUCCUAAUUAGUCUGAACAUAAUAAUGUGUAGCAUGUUAGCAGAACAUGUCUGAUUUUUAACAGAGGAAAAAUGAGAGUGCUCAGCACAAGAGAAAAGCUUUGCAUUAAAUAAACCUUUUAUUUUCCAGUGUCAGUUAAGUUCUGCUGAACAAAACCUUGGACCAUUGCUCUAGAAAGCAGCAGGUGAAUGCCACAAGGCAUCAUACUGAGGCCAGGGUGAGGGCAGCCACAGGGCUGGGACAUGGCCAAUGAGGAGAGCUAGGCAAGGCCUGACCAAGGUCCUGGGGGUCUAUGCUCAUACUGAGCCAUCUGCUGGGCAGUGCGGCAUGCCACUGUGCCACGUUCAGUCAAAUGUUGCAGAGCACUGCAAAAGAGACGUGGAGGACAGCUUGCUGAUUUUGUGGGCUUCCUCAGGCAAGCAAAGGCUGAUCAGGCAGAAGCCAGUUGGGUAGCUAUCCCCACAGGCAUCAGGAACCCAGCGUGAGGAGCCCAGAUGUGGUGUGCACUCAUACAUACCAACAUGAUAAAGGAUGUAUUUCCUCACAUGCACUUACUGGCUUUUUGGGUGGGUAGGAACUAGGAGGUUUUCCAGUCCCUCCCUGAUGUUUUCUUAGGGAAUCACCAUGAAAUGUGUUCCAUGUGAUGGCCGCCCAUAUUGCUCUUAGCAAAUACAUCUUUAUCUUGGCUUCAUAUCAAAAUGGGCUAUUGAUUUCAGAUUAACAAAAUCAAGAAAAAUAUAAGUGUGAGAUACUUUUAUUCUUCAAUAAAGUUCUGAGGACAAUAAUUGGAUUUGCCUUCCAGACAGGCACAUAGUAUUGAUUAUGAAUCUGAAACUAUAAUUCAAACAAGGCCAAAACUAAUAGAAAGUAUACACAUGUUCAGUAACAAAUAAAUUAAAAAAUAAAAAAUAUUCAUAUGUUAAAUGCAAGAAUUUUACAACUGUUACACUGAUAUGUUAUUGUAUUACACUUGCCUAAGUGGCUUAGCUGUUUUGUGUAUAACCUAAUAUAUGAUUUCACUGUUAGAGAAUUAUGGAGUAAACUAAAGAAAGGUAAAACACUUUUUAUCACUAACAUAACAUAAAACAUACCUCAGUGACUGUUGUUGUGAAAUACUAUUUACUAUUUUUUUUUCUUUUUGGUCCUUGAUGAAAUUAAUGUGGGAAUGCAGUAUGAUGCCGGAUGCUAAAGUAGAUCAGUAGAUUAAUUUUAGUCUCUUAUGUAUGCAACAGAGUUCUGAACAGUCUUUGGGUGAGGCUGUCAUGCUGAAUAAUUUCUUUAUCCAUUGAUCUCUAUUCAAGACUUGAACUUCAGUAACUGGACAUCUCAACAUCAUAAAAUAGUCAAAACUUGAAAGGAGACAUUAAAUUACAAAAAAAAAAAAAAAAAAAAGGAAAAAAAGUUAUACCUCUUUUCACUUUAAUUUCUUUCUUUCUUUCUUUUUUUCUUUAAUCUCACUAAAAAAAAAAAUAUCAAAAUGUACUGUACUAUGAUUUUUAUUAACCAGUUCUUACAACUUGCAACUGAUUGUCUCAGCUUGAAUUUAUCUGUAGUAUACAGAAUUCUCUUGCCCAUUCACAAAGAAAAAGUAUUAUUUAGAGUAGUUCUCAUCCACAGCUUCCUCAUUACUGGAUUUAUGUGAAAAGCAGAUCUUAUUUCCCAUGGUUAUUCACACAGAAGUUUUCUUUUUAUGACUUGAAAAAUAGGGUUAUUCUUCUUUCCUUGAUACUUGAUGCUUUUAGUUUAUUCCUAUAGCAAAUAGAAGCAGAGGUUCUCCAGUUCCUAAGUGCUAUUGGUGCUUUUUAUGUGUAAUAACUGGACUUAACACAAAAAAUAAAUUUUUAUCCAGUUAUUUUAUGCCAAAAUCAACACUCUCCACAGUCUGUACAUAUACUGGUAUACUGGUAUUGCUUCUAUCUUGAUUCAGAGUACAGCCACCAUGUUAAUGAAGUGUUAGCAGAUAUGUAAGAAGUUAUCUAAGAAACAUUAUUUUAGUUUUUUGAAACUGCUCUGCAAAAACAUUUCUUUUCAGUUAGUAAUUGCUUAGAGCUUAUAAAGUUGAAUGAAAGAUAAAAUAGAUCUUCCUUUUUUUCAACUACUUAACACAACAAGCAUUCAUUUUUUCCCCUGGAUCUAAACUGGAACUUUUGAAGAAUCUGAUCUUACCUUUCACCCAGAAAGAGGAGGAGAGAUCAAAGAACUCUCUCUGUUACCUUCAGCUGGUCUCUGCAAUGCCGUUACUGCUGCUGCUACAGAGUCCAGGUAAAAUAUUCUGCAUUGACUGAGUUAAGAGAUUACACUAAACCAAGCAAGUUUAGGGAUAUGGCAGAUGUCUUCACUUUUGUUUCCUUUCAUUGCUGAUGAGGAUUACCUUAUGAUUUAACCAACAUCCCGAUUACAAGGACUGAGUUUGGAAGAACAAUGAUGCUUCAGAUAAAAUGUCUUAUCCUCUUUGCAGAAACAGGAAGCUAUGGCAGUGAUGGAAGUGCAAACAUCAGAGGAUCCCAAGAGUACAGCAGUGACUUGAGAGAGCUGAAUGUUAGAACAGUGGAUAUUCAUUGAAGAAGUCAUGGAAGAGUCAUUCCCUGGAAGGGACAGGUAACUCCCUGGAAAGACAUGAAAAAAAUCACUACCAUUAGCCUGAUAGAGACCAUUCCCUCCAAGAAGUAUGGCACUUCAUUUGGGGCAGCUGCUGCUGCGCCACUCAAAGAUAGACUGAUGCACUCUGGGAGAUCAUAAGCCAUAGGAUGUGAGGGAGAGCAAGACAUGAAGGAGUUCACUUCAUACCUGAUGUUUGUUGCAGUCAACUCACAGGAAUAAAAGUAAGCUUCCAGUGCUGUUUGUCUGAAAUAUGCACUCCCUUCCCUGCAAUAAUCUCUAAGACAGAAACUAUGUCAACAGAGACAAGAAUUCUCAUUCUUUCUAUUAUGCUUUCAGCCCUAAGCAGUCAGUAAGGUCUGAGCUGCCCAAGUUCUGUACAGUAUCAUCCAUAAUUCAUAGAUUUCUGGCUUUCCAUUAGCUCAGCAUCAGAAAUUGAAGAGUCUGAGCGUUGCAAGGUGAUUAAGGACUUUUUUUUCUGAUAUGUUGCUUCUUUCUAAGGCUGAAUAUAGGUUUAUUUUCUGUACAAGUGCUCUUGCUAAUAGGUUAUCAUGAAAGAGGUUGUCACUAAAACAUACGAGUUCUUGUUGCAUGUAACUUAUCUUUUCCAGGAUCCAUAAAUUCUACAGCAAAAUAAAACUCAAAGUUUGAGGAAGAAGGAGCUUUUCUCUUCUGAACAAACACUUGAGUGUGUGUGACUAGGUAAUUUAAACCUGUACAGAAUUAAGACUUAAGUUGAGAACAGCUAAAAGAAUAUGGAUAUCUAUUUAGAACCCCUGAAGAAAAGGAGGAAUAGAUCUCUAACUAUAACUGUGUUUCAAAUGCUUUAUUUCUCAUCUGGUUUUAUGAAGACUAUUUCCACAGGGUAAUUUUGUAUCUUUCCAUUAUGAGAUAACUGUUUUUUGUAUUAAAGGGAAAUACGGAACAUAUCCCAUCUAUCUUGGCAUUAGUGAAGCCGUUAAUUUAGUACAAAGUUGAAAUUUUAAAGUUAAAAUGAGGAAGAUUGGGUUUUUAGUAAACAGUGAUAAAGUUGGAAAAGAAGUAGCUGAAAGAGAGGAAUUGGCUUUUUAAAAAGAAAAAAAGGAAAGAGAUUUGUAGUGAAAUUCUUAAAGGUCAGAUCUUAAGAAAGGAUUCAUAUAGUGUAUAGCAGAAAUUAAACUGAAUGGUAUAAUGGUAAGAUCAUUUGUUUUAGCACAGAACCUUAGGUGCAGAAGGCUUGAAAUCAAUUAUGGGACUAUGAGGGUUCAAAAAUGAGGUGUAGCUACUAGAAAAUGAGAGUAGUUUCUGAAUACAUCAGAAAACAUAUGUUUGUGUGCAGGGGAACUGUGGUGCACUGAUGAUUUGUCAUCUACAUUACUAAAUAUAGGUCAGUUCACCCAUAAUCAAGCUAAAAAAUUCAUGAAGAAACUCUAUUAGAAUAAUAUAGGGAAGGAUGCAUGCUUUAUAAAGCAGGGACACCAAAAGAGUUUGGCUUAUUUAAUAAAAUGAAGGAAUAAAAGACAGAAUUGUUCUUUCAGCACUGGUAGAAGUACAAGAGAUGUUCAAACCAACGUACAGUUCUGUGAUGUCUAUAAGUGGGUGUUAAAGUGAACAAUAAUGUAUUUAAAUAAACAAGCAGAAGAGACUUGUUAACAAUGAUAGGAAAGAAGUUUUGGAGCAGUAGACCAUAAAGAGAGGAAAGCAAAAGCAAAUGUAAAGUUUGGUAAUGUAGUGGAAUUUCAAGGUAACAGCCUGAACCAAUGGGUGGGCUAUGUGAGUGUGAGGGUGCCUGGAGCCGGGGGGUGGGAGGGUUUGGAGCCACCCCUUCUGUCUCUGCAAUACUUCCUGUGCAAUCUGAGUCUGCGCAGGUCCCGCUUUUCCCCAGCCCUUCUCUCUGGUGGUGCGACGGUCUGAAAGGAGGAGGGUCACAUUCCUCAGCUCAUCCCUUUCUCCAAACUUACUGGGAGGAGUGAGUUAAUUCCUUUUUGAUAUCUUUUCCUAUAGCGCCUAUUUCUCAAAUAAAGGCUCUGUCAUUGCCUUUGUUUGCUCUACAAGUAAAUAGCCAAUAAAAGGAACAGGCAAAGGCAGAACAUGGAAGUUUAUGAAAUCUUUCAAAUAACGUGGUCAUCUCUAGUAGAAGGGGAUGACCCAGGAAGUUCUGUGUUCAUGAGAGAAAUAGGAGAUAUCAGUGGUGGAUAUCAAAGAAAUAUUUAAGAAAGCCUGAUCACUUGUCUACCAUUUUUCUCCCUAAUACCAGUUUCAUGAACAGAUGAGCUGCAACACUAUUUUUCAGGUGAUACCUGAUAAUCAAUUCUGAUCACCGUGGCACUUUGCUAAUACCACUGCUGUUGCUGUUAAAAGGUUUCUCUUCUCUUUGCUGGACUGUGUAAUCUACUUGUUCACAUAAGUUUCCUUGAAACAUUAACAGCUGUUGCAAACUACCCAAAGCACAACGUAUAGCUAUCUACUGCCUGAGUAUAUCCAAGUAUUUAUGAGUUCGCAUAAUUGCACUGGAAUUUAUUUCUCUUCAGGAACUUGAGAACUUACAGAGCUAUUAAAGAUUUAAUACAGCCGGAAAUAUUGUUAUUGCUUUCUACAGGAGUAAGUGUAUGCAUUUUGUUAUUUGCCUUUUUUUCUUAUAACAAGUAUGUAAAUGAGAAAUAAAUACUGAAAGCUGCACAGCACUAUAUCUCCCACACAAAGGGAAGUCAUUUUAAAAAUAGCUUAUGCUUUGAACAGGAAAAUGGAAAAACACACAGAGUAACAAGGCACUAUGGCUAUUCAGCUUUCUGAUAAAAAGAAAUCCAUCAACGGUUUGCCUUUAACAGUUUGGCUGCACUCUUUUGUAGUAAAAGAUAAAAAUAUCAGUUGUGUUCCAGAGAUUUAGUGGGGGGAAAAAAAAAAAAGUGACUUUACUCUUAUUGUUACAUAGGAAUAUGUUAGGAAAGCUUAUAGCAGGCAGUAACAAUUCAUGUACUGAAAGUCUAAGUUAUUGAUAACCUGAAGAUUUCACCAACUGAAGUUCAAAUAUAUUUUCAGUAACUCAGUGAUAUCUUUGAGUUUGCUUAGACUGUACUUUGGAAGAUUUCAAUAAGUGAGAUUUAAUGUCAGUUUAACAAUGUGCUUAGCACAUGUUGAAUACAUAUACUGAGUAGAUGAACAAAAGGAAUAUUUGUUAUAUAGCAUUAGAAUUUAAAGGAGACCAAACAAAAACAAAGUCUUGAAUAGAAUGGAAAUGGAAGGAAGAAAGAAAUGUAUGUCCUUGACAACAGUUUAUAAGCAGAGGUAUGUAUUUUGUACUUAUUACUCUUUGUUACAGACCACUGGAGUUGGGAAAUAGAUAAUUGUUUACUACAAAAUAACUGCUAAUGUAAUCUGGACUUUCUUAAUGAAAAACACAUUAUACCUCUGACUCUUCAAACUCAGCAAAUUUAUUUAAAGAUUGACUAAUACUGAUUAUUGAGAGCUGCAGAGAAUUCAAAACCAUAUGAGAUCCUUGCUUUAAAGAUUGAUGUUAGAAGAUUUAAAGGUAACAAUCUUGGGGAAUAAAGAAGAAACUUAAUGUUUGCUUUCUUGAUGUUAUUUCACUGUCAAGUUGUAUCUUCAUAAGUAAGCUAGAGAAAUAUAUCUUAAUGAAAGUACUGCAAAGUAUGAGUUUGCUAGGUAAACACAAUUUUCAGAAAGCAACUUAUUUGUUCAUUAUCAGAAAAGAAGGAAGACAGACUAAUAUUUCAAAUGAAAAUUAAUAACUAUUAUUACUUAAUAAGAAACAUUUCAUUGUCCUUGCAGGUGGUAUACUGCUAAAACCACUAGGAGAAUGUGGAAGAAUAAAGAAGAAAGGAUAUAAUUUGAAGAUAAUAAUAAUAAUAAUAAAAAGUUAUAAUAAACUGGAAGAAUGAUGCCUAAAAUAAUCAAUUAAGAAAUAGCCAGAAGUUCGGCGUCCCUCAGGGGCCUGUACUGGGACUGAUGCUACUUAAUACCUACGUCAAUUACGUAGACAGUGGGAUGGAGUGCACCCUCAGCAAGUUUGUGAAUGACACCAAGCUAUGCGGUACAUUUGACAUGCCUGAGGUAUGGGAUACCAUCCAGAGAGACCUAGACAGGUUUGAGCAGUGGGCCUAGGGGAACCCCAUGAGGUUCAACAAAACCAAGUGCAAGGUCUUGCACCUGGGUCGUGGCAACCCCCGCUAUCAAUACAAUUUGGAGGAUUUAAGGAUAGAGCACAGCCCUGCUGAAAAGGACUUACUGGUAGACAACAAGUUGGGCAUGAGCCAGCAGUGUGCCCUCACAGCCCAGAAAGCCAAUCAUAUCCUGGGCUGCAUCAAAAGAAGCAUCACCAGAAGGUCAAGGGAGGUGAUCCUGCUCCUCUACACUGUGCUGGUGAGACCUCACCUGGAGUACUGUGUCCAGAUGUGGAGUCUCUCAGUACAGGAGAUACACAGACCUGUUGGAGUGUGUUCAGAGGAGAGCUACAAAAAUGAUCCAAGGGAUGAAACACUUCCCCUGUGAGGACAGGAUGAGAGAGCUGCGGCUGUUCAGCCUGGAGAAGAGAUGGCUCCAGAAAGACCUGAUUGUGGCUUUUCAAUAUUUAAAGAGGGUUGUAGAAAAGGAGGGGACAGACUUUCAGCAUGGUCUUUUGUGAUAGGAUAAGGGAAAUGGUUUCAAACUAAAGAGGAAGAUUUAGAUUAGAUAUAAGGAAAAAGGUUAUUGCAAUAAGGUUGUAAUACCCCAACCUGCAGUUGGUUGCCUGGAGAGGUGGUGGAUGCCUCCUCCCUGGAGAUAUCCAAGGUCAGGCUGGUCAGGGCUCUGAGCGACCUAUCUAUCCGUCCCUGUUCAUUGCAGGGGAGUUGGACUCGAUUACCUUUAAAGGUCUUUUCUGACACAAACAGUUGAAUGAUUGUAUGAGUGAAAUGAACAGAUUCUUCUCAUAUGUAUGGUUCUCACUAUUUAGCACUUAACAUGAGUUAUGUUUAUUCAUUGAUUUAUUUACUGCUUCAUCGGAAUGAAUACAGAGCUAGGUGGUUACUUAGAUUGUUAGAGAGCUACCAGAGACAGCAUUGAAAAGUAAAACCAUCUCCUAAGCCUCCAUGUGUUUAUCAAAAUUGGUCAUAAAAAGACCAAGAAAGAAGUAGUUAGUAGUUAUAAGUAACAGUGAGGAAAAAUUAAAUUACCUGGUAAUUAUUUUUUAUUUUUAUGCAUUAGUUGACCCUCUGAAGACCUCAUAACUUAGAUAAUGCCUUGUGAUCUCAUUGUUUUAUUCUAAUCUAAUAAUAAUUAAACAGAAAGUUAUUUCCAACUCUAAGGAAAAAUUUCAGCUGUGGAUAAAAUGUUUCCAAACAGAAAAGAAUUUGGAAAGAGAGUGCAAACUCUCUUUUCUUUAUCAUCCUUAAAGGAAAAGGGAAAAUAAUGUAUUUUUAUUUUAUGAAUAGAGGAUCUUCCAUUUAGAAUGCUUGGUUUGUUCUUGAAAAAUGUCUGAAGGAAUAUUAAUGAGAGAAGAAAAAACAAAUACAAAAUAAAUAAAUACCUAUCCCCUUACUGAACAUGAAACCAUUAAAAAAAAAAAAAAAAAACUGUAACGGCCACAAUUCACAUUAUGAUGAUAUCCUGAAAUUGUGUGUGAGAUCUAAAAGAGACCAUAUAGAUUCAGUGCAGUUGAUCUUAGGGUAGUAAGUGGAGAUUUUGUAUCUCUCAGAAGGUAUGGUUAUCCUUAAAGCACUGCUUAAAGAGUUAGAGGUUUUUUUUCCUGUUGGAAACUCUUUGCAAUAUUUCAAAUGAAAUCUUUCUUUUAAACAUUACAGUCACCUAGAAAGAAAGGAUAGAACCAUUUUGUUUCAUGUUGGCCUAGUAGUCUGUGGAUUUAUGGGCGUGUUUAAACUCUGCUCUAGUGAGACAAUAUGUCACAAAUAUUGUAUUAUUUUGUUAUUUUCUGACCAUCAACCUGAUGCUUGCUACUAUCCAAUGCCCUUCAGCCUGUACUCUGUAUGCAGGUUGAAAUAAGCCUGUACUUAUUUUGUGACAUAUUCGAAAAGAAUAGUAAAACAUUUAUAAGAAAAUCUAGACAUUUGCUCUUACACAAAGAAAAAAUGUUAGUUUGGGUGAAAAGACACCACAGCAUUUUAGGAAUUCCUUUUGAAGAAACCAUAUUUUGGAGAACUUUUGUCUAUGACUGCAACAUAUUACUGCACAUACUGCAGCAAAGUGCAAGCUGUGUGUCUGCAGUUUAAUCAUCUUUAAAGUGAUGAAGAGCAGGAAUUUUAUUUUCAGAGGGGAAAGAUGAGAAACAAAUCUAUCAAAAUUUGUUCCGUGAAUUCAGAGCGCAUGGGGAUUUAUUUUCAAAACAGAAACUGGUUUGUUUCUGAGAAGCAAAUUCUAUUAUUGUUUAACAGGAUUUGGGGGCAGAAUUGUCAUAAACUGACUGAACACUUACUCUGCAGGAGUUUUUUUAGCUGAGGAAAAAGGUUGGCAAAACAAUUUGUUUCUGUGGAUUUUUUUAGUGAAUUCAGCACGUGCCCCAGAAAAGGGCAUUUAUCUCAUUUUGAAAGCCACUUUCAUAUUCUUUCCCUAACUUGCUUACUGUUAGCUAAAACACUAAAUUAGAAAGAGUUAUUUCAAGUCCAACCCAAGGCUUAAUUUUACUUUUGGGGAAGAAAGUUGGAUUCCUAAAAUCAGUGGGGAAAAAAGAAAGAACAGUAAUUUCUGCGGAGGAACAGCAAUAAAUACGUGCACACUUUUUUUUGCCUGUGUAUGAAGUGUAAGGCACAACAGAAUGAUUUAAACUUGCAUUCACCCAGAAUGAUUUUUUUUUUCCCCUUCUAUAUCGUACUCUUGUUCUGAAACCUCACAUCUUAUCCAGGGUUUAAUAUAUCUUAGGGUGCAUUAAUUUAAUAAUUUUAGAAUGCUUUCAAAACUCUAAGGCUUAUUAUUUUAUUACCAGGAGUUUGUAACUUAGGCAGAAUACUGAAUAAAUUUUGUCAACCUUUCGUGCUUACUUUCUGGAGAAAAGGGGAAAAGGAUUAUUGAGACCUAGGGAUGGUCCGUGCCUGAGAAAGGAACUCUGUAAUCAGGUGUGGGGCCAGGAAUUGGACUCUGAUCCUUCUGGGUCCCUUCCAAAUUGUCAUAUUCUAUGAUUCUGUGAUUCUGUGCUUAGCCCAUACGUGACUAUCUCACCUAGGCUGCUGCUUUGAUGUGAUGGAAACACUCCUUGCAUCUUUAGCAGAAGGGGCCUUCCUAAUACAAAACAGUUACAAAGAGAUAGAAAAUCCCAAAGGAGUUCUUAGAGAGCAGCACAGCUCACUGAAUUAUCUCUGUGUUUUCUAUUUUAAACGUUGUGUUUCUUUUUUAAUUAUACAUUGAACUUCUGGCUGUUCCUGGAUAAUUUUCAUCACAGAAGGUUUGGAAGCGUGCAAAAUUUAGGGAUGAGGAUUUUGAACUAUGUGUGGAAUGCUUCCUCUUUCAGUGUUUUUGAUCAAGAGCUCAACUUCUUUUUUUGUGUACAGUAUUUUACAAAAAACAAGUCAUUUGAUGCUGGGCACUCAAAUGGACAAAUACAGGCUGGCAAAAUACCUCAGAAAAAUGAAUGGGAUAUUUCACUGUCCCUCAGGCCUUUCAAUAUUCAUAUUCUUCACAGUAUUUUCAGUGCAAUUGUUAUUGCUUCGCUAAAGCAAACUGCCUUUCCCAUAGAAAUAGUUAUUCAUUUGGCUGUUCAUCAUUUCAGAACAGGGACUGUGUUCUUUCCAAAUGCACGUAAAAGCUUCUGAAAUAUAUGAGAGAAGUUCUAAUCUCAUCCACUUUCUAACCAGAAAGACUAUGUGGAUGGAAAGUUUUAGGAUGCAUUUUCAGCAGUUUUGAACAAAACUAACAGGGUUUGGCAGAGUUCCUUGCUUAUGAAUAGAGAAAGAUUUGCAGAACUAGGUAACUACUUAAACUUGGAAACACAGCAAGCACGGAAAACAAACCAGCAAACACAACCAACAAACAUUCCAAAGACAUUUGUUUUUUGGAAUAUGUUUGCUAAGUUUUGGAUGAGAAAUUUUUUAAUGGUCUUGUUACGUUGGUAACUGUGGUCAGACAGGUGACAAAUUUUCAGACAACACCUAUAGGUUUCUGAGAGGAGUUUGAUGAUGUGAUGGCCUUGUGGCCUCCCAAGGAACAACCUCGAACACUCCAUCAUCCUCCUGUCUUGAUUCUGAACACCUGUCCAACAUUAACACAUAUUCUUCGCAGAGAGAGAAUAAAGAAGAGAAAAAUAUAAACAUCUAAAUGAAGAAAUAAAUGAGUGGAUGUAUUAACUAAAUAAGGGAUUUAAUUGGAUUGCUUUUGUCCUGUGAGCUUAUAAUUAGCAGAUUUUUAUUUAUGGCAGAAAGACCUAUCCUUAGCAUAUAUGCAGAGCUAUAAGAUAGGUAGAGCUCAGGGCAUUUUUAAUAGAUUCUCACUUUAUAAUUUGCAGGAGACAAAAAUCUUUACGCCAGACUCUGCUCUCAGUUACAAGAGCACACUGGAAUGCACCUUUAAUGUGUCUUGUCAGUUUUAUUUUCCCUUAACCCUUGUAUUUGCACAUUUGGAAAGAUUUUAUGACAAAACGGUCCCUGGCAAUUUUGAGUGUGGUUAAAUAUUACUUUUUAUAAUAUAAAGUGGAAGCAUAAAAUAAUCCCUUAGAGGCUGCAAUCUAUUUCUUCUUAAGUGUUUCCUUGCUUAGCAUGGGGCCAGAAGUUUAUCACCAUUACUUUGCCUACAAAUGAACUGUAGACGUUUAGAGAAAUAUAUUUAAUAUAUUUUAAAUAGGUAAAGAAUGUAAUGAAAUUUAUUCUGCAACAAACAGUUCUUCCCUGAGAAAAAAAAAAAAAAAAAAAGAGAUGGUUUCCAUAUUUGUGUGUAAGAAAAGGAAUUUGUUUGUGAUCUGUUAACCUUGCCAUCUUGUCUUUAAAUAUUUGUUCUCAUCAAAUCCUUGUCAUGUCAUGAUGUCAAAGGAGGGAAAAUGUCUAGAGAAAAGCUUUCAUCUUCGAACAAGUAGGUGGAAGACUGUGAAAUGUCACCCUGACUUUGACUUUGUUUGUUUAUUGCUUAUUUCUGUUGAUUCUAGUGCAUUCAGCAGGAGAUCUGUUAGAACUCACAACCCCUUAGCUACCAGUAAUAGCUUUGGAUAAGGCAUCGAAUACUGCAGCUGACCUAGAAUCUUGCUUCUCUUAACAAAAAUGUUAAAAUGUCUCUAUCCAAAUGUGCUUUAUUCUGCCUCUUAUUUUGGCACUGUGCUUCUCUUAAGCCUAAUUAUCUCUAUAUAAUUUUGAAAGCAUUGAAGUGACAAUUUUAUGCCAUUUUCUAUUUUGGACACUGAUAAACUAUGAGAAAAAAAUUUAAAAAAAAGAAAAAAGAAAAAAAAAAAAAGAAGAAUAGAUGAAUUAGGUCAGGCUGACCUAAUCUUUUAACUCUAAUGUCAUCUACAGUGCAGCUCAGACUGUAGUUCCAAUUGUGUUUCUUGAUAAUAUGAUGUCAUUUAGAAGUGUAUGAGAAAGGUUUUACCACUGACUAUUAAGUUGUCUGUAUUGAAGACAAAAGCACAUGUUUAAAACACCGCCAGAGGUAAACUGCAGGGAGAAUAAAGUGCAAAAACCUGUUGCUUUGAUAUUGUUACAUUAUCUAGACCAUGGUAAUGGAAAGAGGAUUAGCUGGGAAGGUAAUCUGAGUUACUGGAGGAACCAAGUCUCAAUACCAGCCUGAUGACACUCCUUUGGAAGAUGCUUUAAAGACAAACUAAAAUCCAUCCAUAAGCAGAGAAUCAAAUUUAUAAUUCUUAGUGUGCUUUAUUGAUAUUGCUGAGACUGAAAUGAUGUAUUUAGCUAUUUAAAUCUCUUAUUUCAAUGAUGAGAAUACUCUUCUGUCUAGAUAAUUUAAAGAAAUCAAUUUUCCUUAAAAUUAUGUUUUUGUUCAUAAUACAAUGUAUCUUCUGUACUGGAAAAAAUCGUGAGAAAUUUUAAGGCAGUUUUCAGAGAAAGACAAGAAAAAUAAACAAAAAAAGUGCUUGAGGUCAAGUGCAAAGAAGUUGUCAGUGGAUAGACUUCUUCUUAAUCUGAUAGUAUCUGGAACAGAAACAAGAUUGCAACAGUUAGGUUUCAGAAGGGAAAGUGUCACGACUGUUUGGCGAAUUCCAGUAAUUGCUUGUUUAAUUUGCUAUUAUUCACUUGACAUUUCAUGCAUCUGAUUUCCCAAUAUCUAAAAUCCAUAUAAUAAAUCCUCACUGUUGUGAAGUGUAUCAAAAACUAAAUAUAAACAGGUUAUCCACUCCCUUUGUGUUACGAGAGCUCAUUUUCCCUGUAGGUUUGCCUUCAUAUAUAGUAUUACUAGAAUCAGGCCCCUGCAUGGAACAUUUGGUUGCUACUUCAUAUGCUAAGUAAAUGUUCUGAGCUGUUUGUUUAGGAGAAACUGUGACCAGUUGUUUUAGGCCAUCAAGCCGCUUAAUUUGACUAGAAAUUUCAAUAACUGUUUCAUUGGAAAUCUGAUAGAAAGAAUUGUAUCAAAAUCUAUGAGUCUAAUUUAGGUUUUGCUAUGCUCUGAUUUGAUGUGGAAUGCUUUUGUGUGUAGAAAACAGAUAAGCUUCAUUUUAAGACGACCUUAAGGAAGGUUAUGCUAUGCUCUAGAAAUAUAAUUAGAUUUAUUUAGCUUAAUGUAUUUUCUAGUUUUGAUUUCUACAAAUAACUGAUAAACUGAAUAGGCACAAGGUGUUUUUAUUCUGAAAUGAACUGUAGCCAUCUAGUUUUUCCAAAGGCUGCUAUUGCACUUAACAUUCACGUUCUUAUCUUACCCCAAACCAUCAUUAAAUGAAAGAAAAUACUUUAUUUUGGUGUACUUGCCAUUGUCUUGAAAUUAGUUUAAAAUGGACAAAUUAAACUUCAUUUGAAUGUUAGAUAAAGGAUUUUGCUGACUCCUAUGUUUGAUGGUUGGGUUUCCCCAGGCCCAGUGACUAAUGGACACAAUGUCAAAGAAGCAGAAGCCCCUGAAGUACCAUAUUCCUAAUAGGGAUUUCAAUGAAAAAUACUCAUCAGUUUCCUAAAGUUCCCAGAUGGAAUUUAAAUGUAGCAGUGGAUUCAUGUUUUCGUUCGGGCUAUCUGGGAGCAGAAGACGGAAAGACAGCUAUACCAAAGACUUCUGAAAAACUGGCUUUGGAUCUAUUGUUUAUUGAUGACUCACAACUCUCACCUCCCUCUACAGGGACAUCCUCCAAGUCAUUUUGGACUAAUUUUCAGCAUUUUUUUCAAUAGUUAUAGUCUUUUCUGUAACUUUAUACAGAACUUGAGAACUGGCAGGGACCAGCUCUGGUAAUCCUUAUGUAUUACUGAAUAUCACCACUGAGGAACAUUGUCAUCUACAGUAGAUGAGAUAAUCCUAGCAAACACCAUGUUGCAAGGUGCUAAUUGACAUAAUAAACAACAGAAUAUAUCUGUCAAGCUGUGUUUCUGGGUAAAUGGGAGCUAAUUAAAUUAGCAAUAAAGCAUAAGGCCUGUAAAACUUCAUGUUCUUUUUAUGCUUGUUGUAGUUGGUUCUCUUAGAGUUAUUGCCUUAAGCAAAGAUAAUCACUUUCAUACAUGUUUCUCUAACAGAUAACAAAAUGAAAGUGGUGAUGUAACCAUCAGUCACUGAAUAGUGCUGAAAAAGACAGUGGUUUAAAGAAUCUGGUCUCCCAGAGUUGAAUUGGCCUUCUAGAUCAAAAGGUAGUGCCAGACUACUGAACUGUUUUAUACUAGUUGAGUACAUGAAAUAGGUAGCAGUAUUUACUUCUGAUAUUGUUAAGAUAUGUUCUGAGUGAAUCUUUGAAUGCAGUUGUAUUCUCUCCUGCAAACUGAAUAAGAUUUACCAGGAAAUUCAAAGUACAUUUUUUAUGAGAUAGAUGGAUAUAGUGGAGAAAUAUAUACUGGGGAAUUUAAAAGGAAUUAAAUGUAUUUAUUUCUGGCAUUUUUCUUUCUGCUUCUCUAAUAUUUUUUUUUUUCUGUACAGCAAAAAUAUUUUUUUUACUCCUACUUACUUUCUGCUCAGCAGCAAAAAGAACAAUUAUAUAAUUAAAAUAAUAGAGAAAAGCUAAAGUAAAACUUGACUUGCAUAUUUUUACUGAGUUCCUUCAAUCUUUUUACCUAUAACAGCGAAAAGCUAAUGUCCUCGAGAACAGCAUAUCAUUUCCUCAGUUAUAUUAUUUCCCAAAUCGCUACAUGUAAAUUUUUUCAUGGUAAUAAGUAGGAAGAUGUGUUUAAUAUUUAUUAAAAAGUCAUCAGUGAUGGCCCAUUACAUGUUCUCUUACACAAAAGUGUGACACUUUUCCUCUUUUAAAAAAGAGUGGCUCUUCUAUAAUGCUUUUCAGAAAAAAAUGACAGGACUACAUCCAGAACGUUUUCAGAGUAGGUGUAUAAAACAGUGGAAUUCUAUCACUACCUAAGAGAUUAGAAGAGUAUAAUAUUAAUAUAUAUUUCAGAUAUGUUUAAAUUAAGAAAAUGAAUCCCCAUCCAAGCCAUGAAGAAAUACUAACUCCUUACUGUAUGAAUCCUUCUUUGCUUUUUGGCUCAAAGCUUGUUUUCUGAGGCAUUUCUUGCGAUAAGACUCUGACUUAGAUGAGAGGUGGGUGUUGCCAUGUGGCAAUCAACAUCACUGUGUGGACAAUUUUACAUUUGAAAGCAUUUCUUUAGACCUGUUUGCCUCCAGAAGAGUGUGCUCAAGAGUGUUUACUGGUGAAAGAUCUGGCCUGUGACUAAAUAGCCCCAGCUUGGUAUGGGAAAACUGGGGAAUGAUACCAUCGUGUCCUGUGAAAAACAGGAUGUAGGUGAGCAUCCCUGCUCCCUCUUAUCUGCUGGCAAGGCCCGGAAGAUGGGAACAAAGAAGACUCUGCUGAGAUCCCAGAGCCAGAAGCUGCUACUCCAAGGAGAGCUGACUCAAGCACUUUGGAUUCGAGUUGUCACUUCAAAGAGAGCUGACUUGACCACUUUGGACUUAUAAAUAAGUUUGUACGGCCAUUGGAAAUUGUUGCUGUGGUCACUGUCAUCAUCAACAGAACAAUGCCUGAUGACUUGCCACUACUGAAGAUCAAUGACUGAACUACAAACCACGUUGGACCCAUGGUGGUGACUAUCUCCCUCUUGCUUCCUAUAAAGACACCUUGCUUCUAUUUCCUAUCUCUUCUAUCUCCCUUGUUCCCUUCCCCUUCUCCCUGAACAACUAGUAUUUGUAAUAAACUGGUCAGACCAACAUUUGAACCAUUGUUUCUUAAUCUCAUGCCGGGUAUGCAUAUAUCAAAGAACCGCCUCUCCCUCUGAUAAAUCAGAGCGAGACAUUUACUAGAUAGUGAAGUCAUAAGGGAAUGAAUGCUUCUCUUCCCAUGUUGACGGUUUAUGGGCUGGUCCGGCCCGGUUCCAUGACUAGUGGAGUGGAGGGAUUUUUUUUCAAAAUCCGUGCCUCCAGAAAAGGGAAACAGGGGACCCCCCCCCAAAAAAAAGAAUAAUUAAAAAAACAGCGGCAACGAUCUGAGGAGAAACAAACUAAUUUACUAACUAUAGUAUCAGAAUGCACAAUAACACACUAUAAUACAAUAUAAUUCAAUAUAAUUGUUAAUAAAAUCAAAUAUGAUUGAGAGAAGGAUUGUCUGAGAGCUAAAGGCCUUACACUAAUACUGAAGCCUUGCAUGCAGUCGGGAGCAGCAGCAAGACGAUCCGAAAGUGAGCACGACGAGACGAGAAGAAGACUCGAGUCGGGUGACCUAUAGGCCUUAUAUCUGUUCCCCUGAGCAGGAAUGAUAACAGUACUCGAACAGACUUCUGAGGAACGUAGUUCUUCUUCUCUUCCAGACAAGUACCUGGAACUAGAGCAUUUGCUCUUUAACUCCCAGUACACUGCAUGAUGUUAUGAUGUGGAAUACUGAUAACCAAAAAUCAUAAAACCAUGACAUCCCAAGAACAUUUCUACCUUGUGCUAUUUUUUAUGUUUUUAUAACAUGAAAAGUGCUGUGACUUGGAUAUGACCGUGUGUGUACACUGAAAUUUCAAUGG
ensembl:lncRNA